ensembl:lncRNA
GACUCCAAUAAACCUGGAGCCCACCUGACAGUGAAAAAGAUCUUUGUCAGUGGAAUCAAGGAGGACACAGAGGAGUAUCAUAUCAGACAGCACUUUGAGCGCUGUGGGAAGAUUCAGAUUACUGACAACUGGGAGCAAGAGAGGAUUCUGCUCCGUCACCUUUGAUGAUCACGAUACUGUGGAAAAAAUUUGUUGGUGCACAAAAAUAUCACACAAUCAACCCGCAUAACUGUGAAGUAAGAAAAGCACUUCCAAAGCAGGAGAUGUUUCUAAUCAGAGAUAUCGAGGUGGAGGUAAUUUCAUGAGCAGAGGAGGAAACUUUGGCCGAGGUAACUUUGGUGGAGGCAAAGGAGGAGGAAAUUAUAACGAUUUUGGAAAUAACGCAGGACAACAGUCCAACUACGGCCCCAUGAAGGGAAAUAACUUUGGAGGAAGGAGCUCAGGACCUUACAGUGGUACAGAAAAUCCAGUACACUGCAUGCCACAUCAAAAGUGAAACCACUGUGUGUGAGCCUGAUCAUGUGCAUUGUUAUAUUUAGGUGGAUAUGGCUCUGGGGGCUAUUGUUUUUUUUAUUAUUAUUUGAAGACGGUGAUGUCAGUGUCACAUGUAUUUUUAUAUAUUGUGAGUAUGUGUUGUGCAAUCUGAGUUACAUGAUAAACAGUAGAUUUUUUUCAGAUCUGAGGGCAUGCAACAUGUUAAACCUGUAAAGAGAGAAGUCUAGAAACAAUUUUGACCAUUGAAAAAAAGAAACCAGCUGAAAUAAAGCUGUGUAGUAACUUGCCUAAUGAAGUUUA